rnacentral:rRNA from 1 species
GACGGAGGGUGCUAGCGUUGUCCGGAAUCAUUGGGCGUAAAGAGCGUGUAGGCGGUCCGGUAAGUCCGCUGUGAAAGUCGGGGGGCUCAACCCUCGAAUGCCGGUGGAUACUGUCGGGCUUGAGUACGGAAGAGGCGAGUGGAAUUCCUGGUGUAGCGGGUGAAAAUGCGCAGAUAUCAGGAGGAACACCAAUUGCGAAGGCAGCUCGCUGGGACGUUACUGACGCUGAGACUGCAAGCGUGGAGG